rfam:Paracoccidioides brasiliensis strain Pb18 mitochondrion, complete genome.
AAGAAAUUAGCUCAGAGGUAGAGCUGUCGUUUUACACACGAAAGGUCAGGUGUUCAACUCACCUAUUUCUUA